UACGUAGGGUGCAAGCGUUAAUCGGAAUUACUGGGCGUAAAGCGUGCGCAGGCGGCUAUGCAAGACAGAUGUGAAAUCCCCGGGCUCAACCUGGGAACUGCAUUUGUGACUGCAUGGCUAGAGUACGGUAGAGGGGGAUGGAAUUCCGCGUGUAGCAGUGAAAUGCGUAGAGAUCCGGAGGAACACCGACGGCGAAGGCAGCGCCCUGGCCGCCAUCUGACGCUCAGGCACGAAAGCUGGGGGAGCGAACAGG
rnacentral:rRNA from 1 species